AUGAUUAUUUCUACCGCAUAUGGAGAGGGGAGAGCCGUCGAGUGGAUCUCGCGGAAGGGGCCUCCGCCGGCCGCCGGCCCCCGGCCUCCUCCCGGGGCUGCUAGGUCCUGCCGACCACCGGCGACCUGCUCGCUGGUGAGUAUAUGCAGCGGCCCGAAGAGGCACGUGCAGGGGAAGGCUUCCCCGGAUCUCCCAGGACAGCGAUAUCAGGUACAUGGGCAUGAGAUGGGAAUCACAAUUGUUGUGGAGGAAGGGAAGAAUGUCUUGUUAUUUGGCUGUUGCCAUCCAUGUUCUUUUGGGUUUCACAAUGCAAUAAGUGUUCCUCUCCGCAACGAAUAUAUUAGAUCGAGCAUCAUGUCAUGUACACCAUAA
rnacentral:rRNA from 1 species